rnacentral:rRNA from 1 species
GGCCCGCACAAGCGGUGGAGCAUGUGGUUUAAUUCGAUGAUACGCGAGGAACCUUACCAGGGUUUAAAUGCAGAACGACAGGGGUGGAAACACCCCCUUCUUCGGACGGACUGCAAGGUGCUGCAUGGUUGUCGUCAGCUCGUGCUGUGAAGUGUCGGGUUAAGUCCCAUAACGAGCGCAACCCCAUUUCUAGUUGCCAGCGGUUCGGCCGGGGACUCUAGAGAAACUGCCAGCGUAAGCUGUGAGGAAGUGGGGAUGACGUCAAAUCAUCACGGCCCUUACAUCCUGGGCCACACACGUGCUACAAUGGUGGGGACAACAGGUUGCCAACCCGCGAGGUGAGCCAAUCCCAAAACCCCAUCUCAGUUCGGA